ensembl:lncRNA
CUGGGUUAGACAGAAUACUGGUUUGACUCAGAAGGAUAUUUUGUAUAUUUUACAUUAUAUGGAUUCUUUCACCACUUUCCUUUCCAAUACUAACACGCGUAAUGUGAGUUUUGGACUUACGACUGCACCUCCUGGGAGAUAUUGGAAGUCCGUAUUGGCCUUGAGUACAGAGGGUCUCAGCUGUAUGACAUUUCUUGUUUUCUCACACUUCAGCCUAUGCACUAUUACAAGAUGGAUUCUUUAUUUUUCACUCCAUGUGUAUGAUAUCCAUGCUACACUCAUUUGGCUCAGAGGUGAAAUCCAGAGGAAUUAUGUGGAAAUAAAAUUACUUACACACUCUUUAUCUGGCCUAAUGGACUACAGCAUUGUUUAAUGCAGUAGGACUUUAAUUUUGAUGAACAAAAUAUUUUAAUUGGUAUGACUCUCAUGCAAGAAGAAAAGAAGAAUCUGAGUAGCU